GGGGAUUUAGCUCAGUGGUUAGAGCGCUUGCCUAGCAAGUGCAAGGCCCUGGGUUCAGUCCCCA
rnacentral:tRNA from 1 species